UACGGAGGAUCCGAGCGUUAUCCGGAUUUAUUGGGUUUAAAGGGUGCGUAGGCGGCCUGUUAAGUCAGGGGUGAAAGACGGUAGCUUAACUAUCGCAGUGCCUUUGAUACUGACGGGCUUGAAUGUACUUGAGGUAGGCGGAAUGUGACAAGUAGCGGUGAAAUGCUUAGAUAUGACAUAGAACACCCAUUGCGAAGGCAGCUCACUACGGGAUCAUUGACACUGAGGCACGAAAGCGUGGGGAUCAAACAGG
rnacentral:rRNA from 1 species